GACGAACCACACGAACGUUAUUCGGAAUUACUGGGCUUAAAGGGUGCGUAGGCUGUGCAGAAAGUUAGGUGUGAAAUCCCCCGGCUCAACCGGGGAAUUGCGCUUAAAACUACUGUGCUAGAGGAAUACAGAGGUGAGCGGAACUCGGGUGGAGCGGUGAAAUGCGUUGAUAUCCGAAGGAACACCGGUGGCGAAAGCGGCUCACUGGGUAUUUCUGACGCUGAUGGCACGAAAGCUAGGGGAGCAAACGGG
rnacentral:rRNA from 1 species